rnacentral:rRNA from 1 species
AGCGUACACGGUGGAUGCCCUGGCAGUCAGAGGCGAUGAAGGACGUGCUAAUCUGCGAUAAGCGUCGGUAAGGUGAUAUGAACCGUUAUAACCGGCGAUUUCCGAAUGGGGAAACCCAGUGUGAUUCGUCACACUAUCAUUAACUGAAUCCAUAGGUUAAUGAGGCGAACCGGGGGAACUGAAACAUCUAAGUACCCCGAGGAAAAGAAAUCAACCGAGAUUCCCCCAGUAGCGGCGAGCGAACGGGGAGCAGCCCAGAGCCUGAAUCAGUGUGUGUGUUAGUGGAAGCGUCUGGAAAGGCGCGCGAUACAGGGUGACAGCCCCGUACACAAAAAUGCACAUGCUGUGAGCUCGAUGAGUAGGGCGGGACACGUGGUAUCCUGUCUGAAUAUGGGGGGACCAUCCUCCAAGGCUAAAUACUCCUGACUGACCGAUAGUGAACCAGUACCGUGAGGGAAAGGCGAAAAGAACCCCGGCGAGGGGAGUGAAAAAGAACCUGAAACCGUGUACGUACAAGCAGUGGGAGCACAGAGCAAUCUGUGUGACUGCGUACCUUUUGUAUAAUGGGUCAGCGACUUAUAUUCUGUAGCAAGGUUAACCGAAUAGGGGAGCCGAAGGGAAACCGAGUCUUAACUGGGCGUUAAGUUGCAGGGUAUAGACCCGAAACCCGGUGAUCUAGCCAUGGGCAGGUUGAAGGUUGGGUAACACUAACUGGAGGACCGAACCGACUAAUGUUGAAAAAUUAGCGGAUGACUUGUGGCUGGGGGUGAAAGGCCAAUCAAACCGGGAGAUAGCUGGUUCUCCCCGAAAGCUAUUUAGGUAGCGCCUCGUGAAUUCAUCUCCGGGGGUAGAGCACUGUUUCGGCAAGGGGGUCAUCCCGACUUACCAACCCGAUGCAAACUGCGAAUACCGGAGAAUGUUAUCACGGGAGACACACGGCGGGUGCUAACGUCCGUCGUGAAGAGGGAAACAACCCAGACCGCCAGCUAAGGUCCCAAAGUCAUGGUUAAGUGGGAAACGAUGUGGGAAGGCCCAGACAGCCAGGAUGUUGGCUUAGAAGCAGCCAUCAUUUAAAGAAAGCGUAAUAGCUCACUGGUCGAGUCGGCCUGCGCGGAAGAUGUAACGGGGCUAAACCAUGCACCGAAGCUGCGGCAGCGACGCUUAUGCGUUGUUGGGUAGGGGAGCGUUCUGUAAGCCUGCGAAGGUGUGCUGUGAGGCAUGCUGGAGGUAUCAGAAGUGCGAAUGCUGACAUAAGUAACGAUAAAGCGGGUGAAAAGCCCGCUCGCCGGAAGACCAAGGGUUCCUGUCCAACGUUAAUCGGGGCAGGGUGAGUCGACCCCUAAGGCGAGGCCGAAAGGCGUAGUCGAUGGGAAACAGGUUAAUAUUCCUGUACUUGGUGUUACUGCGAAGGGGGGACGGAGAAGGCUAUGUUGGCCGGGCGACGGUUGUCCCGGUUUAAGCGUGUAGGCUGGUUUUCCAGGCAAAUCCGGAAAAUCAAGGCUGAGGCGUGAUGACGAGGCACUACGGUGCUGAAGCAACAAAUGCCCUGCUUCCAGGAAAAGCCUCUAAGCAUCAGGUAACAUCAAAUCGUACCCCAAACCGACACAGGUGGUCAGGUAGAGAAUACCAAGGCGCUUGAGAGAACUCGGGUGAAGGAACUAGGCAAAAUGGUGCCGUAACUUCGGGAGAAGGCACGCUGAUAUGUAGGUGAAGUCCCUCGCGGAUGGAGCUGAAAUCAGUCGAAGAUACCAGCUGGCUGCAACUGUUUAUUAAAAACACAGCACUGUGCAAACACGAAAGUGGACGUAUACGGUGUGACGCCUGCCCGGUGCCGGAAGGUUAAUUGAUGGGGUCAGCGCAAGCGAAGCUCUUGAUCGAAGCCCCGGUAAACGGCGGCCGUAACUAUAACGGUCCUAAGGUAGCGAAAUUCCUUGUCGGGUAAGUUCCGACCUGCACGAAUGGCGUAAUGAUGGCCAGGCUGUCUCCACCCGAGACUCAGUGAAAUUGAACUCGCUGUGAAGAUGCAGUGUACCCGCGGCAAGACGGAAAGACCCCGUGAACCUUUACUAUAGCUUGACACUGAACAUUGAGCCUUGAUGUGUAGGAUAGGUGGGAGGCUUUGAAGUGUGGACGCCAGUCUGCAUGGAGCCGACCUUGAAAUACCACCCUUUAAUGUUUGAUGUUCUAACGUUGACCCGUAAUCCGGGUUGCGGACAGUGUCUGGUGGGUAGUUUGACUGGGGCGGUCUCCUCCUAAAGAGUAACGGAGGAGCACGA